rnacentral:piRNA from 1 species
UGCCAUGGCUUCCUUGACCUCUCUGGUC